rnacentral:rRNA from 1 species
GGUUCAAUUCUGGCUCAGAUUGAACGCUGGCGGGAUACAGUUUACACAUGCAAGUCGAACGGCAGCACGGACUUCGGUCUGUAAGGAGUGGCGAACGGGUGAGUAAUGUAUCGGAACGCACGGUAGUGGGGAAUCGACAAGAAAGCGUAGCUAAUACUCGCAUACAGCCCUUCGGGGGAAAGCGGGGGACCUUCGGGCCUCGCACCAUUAGAGCGGCCGAUAUCAUCAUUAGCUUAGUUGGUGGGGUAACGGCUCACCAAGGCGACGAUCCGUAGCUGGUCGAGAGGACGACCAGCCACACUGGGACUGAGACACGGCCCAGACUCCUACGGGAGGCAGCAGUGGGGAAUUUUGGACAAUGGGGAAACCCUGAUCCAGCCAUCCAAGUGGUAAGUGAUGAAGGCCUUCGGGUUGUAAAGCACUUUUGGCAGGAAAGAAACGGCACGGGAUAAUACCCCCGUGCAACUGACGGUACCUGCAGAAUAAGUACCGGCUAACUACGUGCCAGCAGCCGCGGUAAUACGUAGGGUGCAAGCGUUAAUCGGAAUUACUGGGCGUAAAGCGUGCGCAGGCGGUUCGGAAAGAAAGAUGAAAUCCCAGAGCUAACUUUGGAACUGCAUUUUUAACUACUCGAGCAGAGUGUGUCAGAGGGAGGUGGAAUUCCGCGUGUAGCAGUGAAAUGCGUAGAUAUGCGGAGAACACCGAUGGCGAAGGCAGCCUCCCGGGGAUAACACUGACGCUCAUGCACGAAAGCGCGGGGAGCAAACAGGAUUAGAUACCCCGCAGUCCACGCCCUAAACGAUGUCAACGCUGUUGGGGCCUUCGGGCCUUGGUAGCGCAGCUAACGCGUGAAGUUGACCGCCUGGGGAGUACGGUCGUAAGAUUAAAACUCAAAGGAAUUGACGGGGACCCGCACAAGCGGUGGAUGAUGUGGAUUAACGGAUGCAAUGCGAAAAACCUUACCUGUACCCUUGUGAUACGUCUGGAAUCCCGAAGAGAUUUGGGAGUGCUCGCAGGAGAACCAACACAGGUGCUGCAUGGCUGCCGUCAGCUCGUAAUGUGAGAUGUUGGGUUAAGUCCCGCAACGAGCGCAACCUGUCAUUAGUUGCCAUGAAAGGGCACUCUACUGAGACUGCCGGUGACAAACCGGAGGAAGGUGGGGAUGACGCACAAGUCCUCAUGGCCUUGCGGUAGGGAGCCACACGUCAUACAAUGGUCGGGAUGUGAGGGUCGCCAACCCGCGAGGGGGAGCCAAUCCUAGAAACCCGAUCGUAGUCCGGAUCGCAGUCUGCAACUCGACUGCGUGAAGUCGGAAUCGCUAGUAAUCGUGACCAGCAUGACGGUGGUGAAGAUGUUCCUGGCCUUACACCGCCCGCUGCAAAGCGUACCAUGGGAGUGGGUUUUACCAGAAGUAGUUAGCUUUCCAACCGUAAGGAGUGGCGACGGCCACGGUGGAUCACAUGACCGGGGUGAAGUCAACAAGGU